rnacentral:rRNA from 1 species
CAGUAGCCGCGGGAAUACGUAGGUCCCGAGCGUUGUCCGGAUUUAUUGGGCGUAAAGCGAGCGCAGGCGGUUAGAUAAGUCUGAAGUUAAAGGCUGUGGCUUAACCAUAGUACGCUUUGGAAACUGUUUAACUUGAGUGCAAGAGGGGAGAGUGGAAUUCCAUGUGUAGCGGUGAAAUGCGUAGAUAUAUGGAGGAACACCGGUGGCGAAAGCGGCUCUCUGGCUUGUAACUGACGCUGAGGCUCGAAAGCGUGGGGAGCAAACAGGAUUAGAUACCCCGGUAGUCCCUGUCUCUUAUACA